GCAGCAGCUGAGGGAGCUGGGGGUGUUCAUCCUGGAGAAAAGGAGGCUCAGGGGAGACCUUACCACUCUCCACAACUGCCUGAAAGGAUGCUGUGGUCACGUAGGGGUCAAUUUCUUCUCCCAUGUAACAAGUGACAGGACAAGAGGAAAUGGCCUCAAGUUGUACCAAGGGAGGUUCAGAUUGGACAUUAGGAAGGAAUUCUUCAUGCGAAGGGUUGUCAAGCAUUGGAACAGACUGCCUGGUGAAGUGGUGGAGUCACCAUGCUUGGAAGUGUUCAGAAAGCUUGUGGACAUGGCACUUGAGGAAAUGGUUUCAAGAUUAAAACGGUGAUGCUAUAUUAAUGGUUGGCCUUGAUGAUCUUAAAGGUCUUGUCCAAUCUUAAGGAGUAUACAAUGUGCAGGCAGACCUAACUGGUCUCCUUUUCUUGGAGGUGGGGAAUUCCUCAAACAUGUGUACCAAAAAUAUGCUUUAGAUCCCAGAAACAAAAUCCAGUGUCACACUUUAGGUUUCACAGAGGAAUGAUUUUGAAGGACUUCCAAGGCAUCAGUGUUGUCAGUUUAGGUUUUUUUUUUUUUUUUAACUUAUGAAUGGAAUGUCUAGAUCAGAUUUCUACUCUUCCUCAUGAUCAUAAAAUUAUCUCACCAAAAUGCUGUACAAACACAGGACUCUCAUCUGCAGAGAGGAGUCUGGACUGCUGGCUUCUGUCCUCAUCUUCUAAAUAUCCACUUGCACUGAACUCCAUGAUUUUCUCAGAAAGACUGGUCAUCACUUUUUAGAAGAGUUUCCCAUGAGGUAAUGGCAUGAGUCAGCAUGGAGGCUGUACAGCACAGACACAACGAAACAGGUGGUACUGAGACCUCCUGUUCAGCCCUCAGCUGCCUUUUUGCAGUGUUGUAGAGCUGGCUUUAUGCCACACUCAGACCAAAUACGACAGAAAUACUGCACUGGAACAACUCCAACUGCCAAUAGGUAGGUUCAUCAUUCAAAUGCUUAACAUCCUUGUAUUUAAAAACAAACAGUUUACAAAGAGAAGGAGGGGAGAGUGCAUUAAAAAUGUACUAACCAUGAGCAUGCCAUUCAGCCUCCUGUUAAAGUCUGCCUGUUGGGAUUGGUUCUUCUCCAGUUGCUGUGAGAUGUUUUCUUCAGACUGGCAGGUGAGGUAUUUUUUUCAUGCUGUUGGGUCUGGAUCCCAUGCAGGAACAUGAUUAUGUCAAAAAAUCUGAUUGGUAAAGCAAAACUCCUCUUGAACCUGAAAAAUCAGAGACAUGGCUGCCUGCAGCUUGAGGCACAAGAGUCAUCAGGGGGCUCUUUGAACCCAGACACAACAUGGGAUAUGUAAGGAAUUACACAAACUCAUUAAUUUUGGACUUUUGUACUUAAUCCACUGAGACUGGAAUAAUUUACUAGCCAGACCAAGGUUCACCCCCUCACUUUGUGGUGAGCAUAGUGAGGGGAAACUUUCUCCUCCCCUAAUGGCACCUGUGCCCCCUCUCUCUAGGCCCUACAGAAUGCAUCUCUUGCUGCUUCCCUGCCCCUGCUGCUGUCCGGAGGGAGCAUGCCCUCUCCUUCCCUGUUGCACAAACAGCUGACCCUUUUCCUCUCACAGCAGGACCAGGCCUGUGCUGCCAUUUAAGAAGAGAACCAGCUAAGGAUGGUGUGGCAGAGGGCAUCUUGCACUGGGUGGCCACCAGUGUCGGUGCUCAGGAGGACGAGCACCUCGAGGGGCAGCAGCAGAGGAGCAGUGUCCUUGGAUGCACCAGGGGGAGUGGGAGACCUGCAGAAGGUCCCAGAGUCAGCUAUGAUGAGCAGAAGGCAGCGUUCCUUUUCUGCAGAGGCACUGGAUGGCUUCCCAGUAAAACCUCAGAAGAUGUCCUGACAAGCUCUGCCUGACAUCUUUGCCUCCAGUUUCACAGUGAUGAUGACACCACCGUGCCUGCCUCCCUGGGAACCUGGCAAAAGAACCUGACCUUGCACAAAGAUGUAUAGGAUAGCAAAUCCCACGUUUCUGAAGAGCUUGUGGACUAUUUAAUCAGACAUGCAUGUGGUACCAUUGCCUGCAUGGAAGUUGGAGACCCAGCUGGAGCAGGCAUACGGAGUUUGUGAGCUGUGGCACCGUGAAGUGUAGUCCCACAGUAACCUCAGGGACAGGGGCCACAAAAUGCUGGCACUACUGUCGGGAAUGAAAGUCAUCUGACUGGAGUGGAAAUGCGCUGACCUGUUUCCCAAGCCAGUUUGGCCUGGAGCUGGGUUCCUCUGCAGAGUGCACAAACCAGUUUGUGCUGUCCAGACUGUCCCUUGGGAGCAGACGGGCCCUCACCAUGCUGACCCCUGGUCCCCAAGCCUGUGUCCCUGCCAUGCCUCCUGCCACCACCAUCCAGCAUCUGGCACUGAAAUACAUGUCCCACAGUUGUUUUUUCAUAUUCUGUUUAACUAUUUUUUUCAACAGAGCACCUCAUUAAGUCAGAUUAAUGAAAGGAAAUAGUAUGCCAGUUGGCCAGCUUUUAGCACACAUUGAAUGCUGUCUUGAACAGUUCCCAUAAUAUUAAUGUAUAGUGUCUUUGUCCUCAGGGCAUUUGCUACUAUCAGAUGUUUCACCCUCUUCCUGCUGCAUGAAGCUCAAAAUUGCAACAUAUGCUUCAAAACACAUACCUUUGUUUCUUAACUCCUGCACCCACAUUUUCUCCUGAUAUUUAUCAGCAUAGCUAAAAUCGGUCUAGGGCAGAUAUUCAGCUCUUCUGAAGAUACUCUGCCAUGCACCUGGGUCUGCCUGGUUGAUUGCUCCCCAAGCUCUUGCAACAGGAUAGAUUUCCUUGCAACCCUUCCUUCAUCUCCACAAGUAUGCAAAGCAGUGCUUAUGUCUUCAGAGUCAGGGAUUUAGCAGCUGGGGCAAAAUCUGCCUAACAACAGGGUGAAGUGGAUUUUGUGCACUGAGAGUGUCCGAGCAGCAGUGAGGCCUCUGAGGCAGUGUCCACACGUGGUCUGGGGCCACGGGUGGGUGCCCUGCCCACAGAAGGGUCACUGCUGCCAGUGGCUCACCACUGCUCUUCUGCCCCACAGCACAGUGACCUGCUGCCUCCCACAGUGUCCAGGAAAACUGGACAUUAGGAGCAGCAGCCUUUGCAAACUGUUUUGUUUUGCCAGACCCAUCUGCCCGGAUGCAAACCCCUCAGCCAGGGGAAGACUGGAAGGAGGAGCCCAGGGCAGGUGGUUGUGAGCUGCAGGAGGCAGUCACAUCUCCCACCAGUACACCAGGAUCUGGCAGCAUGAGUGAUGGCCCAAAAAAUCUUUUUAACUGCCUUUUCUUAAAACCAGUUCCCUGCAAAAAUUCCAGCACUGGGGAAGGAAAAUCAGUGCAGGCCUGUGGUUGAGUUAAGGUCAAUGGGUUGCUUCAAAUGUGUCCUGUGACUGAGGGCAAUCACAUUUCAGCACUUUUAUUUUUUAAACCUUGGAUGAACACUGAAUUUUCAUGUUUUCUUAUAUUUUAUCUUUGAGAAACAGAGAUUAGCAAAGAUAUGGUUCCUUCUGCUCUGUAAGUGGUAACUAGCUAUUUCAAUUUAGGAGGAAAAAAUACUUUGAGAAAAGAAAUAAUAAUUUUUGAUGUCUUUUUUUUAAGUGGGUAUCUAAAAGCAAGUCCUAACUGUGGUCCCCUUAAUAUCUGCAAAAGUAAUUGCUUCUUAAACAGGUACUUGCAAAUAGCAAAUGCUACUUUCGCUAUUUAUUUUUUUCUCUUUUGAAGGGUAUUGACACCUUUCUGCUGCUAAAUAAGAGGUGUUUCAGUUCAGCAGACUGAAAGUGGGGCAUUGUACUAAUCUGUACUUGCAAUAAAACAGAACAGUGCAAACCAGAUUUCAUCAACUCUUGUAAUAGCUGUAAGUCUUGCAUUUUGCAAAACAGUGAUUUUGUUGUAGUUCAGUAACACUUCAUUAUAUUUUGAAUGAAGUCUGUAAGGUGAUAUGAGGACAGAUAAAAUAACAUUUUAUCUCUUCAUAGAAGGCCCACAGAACAUCUGUACAACUGAAGCUCCUUAUGACUCAAGGAAAUUAAAACCAAGUUUCUGUUCCGAAGGGAAUCCUGGAGCAAAAUAUUAUUUUGUGAGUUUUAUUGUAAAUGCACAGGUAGCUACAGAGGCUAAUUUUUUUUAGAGUCGAUAUUUUUACAAUGAUUUUUCAUUUGAAGUAAUGGGAAUGUUGGAAAAGCACUGCUACAAAAUCUAGAAAGAAUUAUAAUAAAUUUUUCUGAACUGUGUUCUCACCUCCUUCACAUUACCUUUUAAGAGAUGUGAGGACACCUGGGUGGAUUGCAUAAUUCUUCAUUGAAGCAGUAGGAAGUAAUUCUAAGUCCAGGAGGGCCUAACUCAUGACUGGUUGUAGGAGCUCCUGGCAGGGAGAUGCAGCUGAGCCUCCUCCUCCCUGGGGUGCAGGUGACUGGGGCAAUGGGAGGCAAUGCCCACUGAGAACAUUUGGGGGUGACAGCCAGCUGGGAAGGGCUGGGGGAAACUGGGGAGCUGGGCUGUGCAAGGGUCACUGGAUGGAGAGAGGAAUGUUGUGUGCUUUCACACAAAUCCCACAUAUAUUGUUGUGCUUUCUGUAUUUGUUAAACAAAUAAACACACCUCCUACCUGGUGUGGUUUUUUUUUUUUUUUUGCUUACCUCUCUGACUGGGAAAUGUAACCUAAAAACAUGAUUUAAGAGACCAGUGGCCAUGUACCAACAGUACACAACUCUCAGGUUCCAGUUACUGAUUGAAAGAUUGCAUAAUACAAUUAGAAAUAUUUUAGCUCUGUGUUUGAACAAGAAAGAGAAAAGUAUAUCCUCCUGGAAGAUAUUUAGGGAGAGAAGUUGCUCAUUGUGAAUUAUUUGCCUGACUCUAUAUAAGUUAUCAUGCUCAUGUGGAAUUUGGGAUCAUAGGAAGCAAGGAAACCAAUACCUUAAUCCACAAUCUACAGGCAAAAGCCUGUAGAAAGGCACAAGGAGAGCACUUUAAGAAAAAUUUGUUUUAUCAGAGUGAAAACCUCUCUCUUGUUCACCAUUGCUGCACUAUAUGAU